rnacentral:snRNA from 1 species
AGAUGUGAGGGCGAUCUGGCUGUGAUAUCUGUCACCCCAUUGAUUUGAUCGCCAGGGUUGAUUUAGCUGACCUGGCUCGCUAAGCAGGUGUCUCCCUCUUCCCUCACCACUCCAUGUGUGCCCCUCCCAAAGCUGUGUGCUUAGUUGAAAGGGAUGACCUUCCCUGAUAGAGGAGUACUGUUCUUUGGUCAAGGAUAUAUGAGUAGCUACAUUCCCCUGCUAGAAUCCCCAAGACACUCUCAAAGUUAUUGUGAGUUGCAUAAUAUGAUUUCAAAGAAAAGGAAACAUUUGGAAAGUGUCC